CUCCUCCAGGACCUGGUGUCCUGAUUUGGCCUCCCACUAGCAGUGAAGUCUGACAAUGGCCUAGCUUUCAUAGUGAAAAACCUCUCAAUAAUAGCUAAGGCUUUAGACAUAGAUUGAAAACUUCAUUGUUCUUAUAGACCUCAGAGUUUUGGCCAGGUAAGACGAAUAAAUAGGACAUUUAAAAAAAACUAACAAAAUUCUCAUUAGAGUCCAGAGAAGGAUGGGUCGGCCUCCUUCCUUUGCUUUGCUUUGAGCUUACUGUACCUUAUACAGGAAAGGAUUUAUCCCCUUAAAGAUUAUGCUUGCAAGACAUCCCCCACUGCUUCCCAGGCUCAGAGACCAGCAGUUGGCAGAACCCUAACCAUUCCUUUUUCAAGUCACCAUAGACCCCCAGUCCUCCAAUACAGGCUAUUCAUUGGAGUAUCUGAGAGAUCCAGCUGGCCUCUGAUUUCAGCACACCUUCCCCAUGUUUGAUUCGACUAAUACUGUCUGGUGCAUUCAGACAGUAACAAAAGCAGCACUGAAACCAACUUGGGAAGGUCCCUAUAAGUGAUUCUCUCCAGUCCUAAGGCUGUGAAGACAGCUGGCAUUACACCAUGGAUCCUGACCACACCCAGGCCAAGAAAUUGGAAAGCCACAGAUGAUGCUGCCAAAUGGACUGUCUCUGGACUAUGGACCCACUGAAAUUAAGUGCUUGGAUUGUACAACAUAGCAUCGUCCUCCAGGCUGCAACCAUGAGUUUUCCCAGUCAAGUUGUACAGAUGUCUGGUCAUGUUAAGUGAAAUGAGU
rnacentral:lncRNA from 1 species